rnacentral:rRNA from 1 species
AUUGAACGCUGGCGGCAUGCCUUACACAUGCAAGUCGAACGGCAGCACGGGUGCUUGCACCUGGUGGCGAGUGGCGAACGGGUGAGUAAUGCAUCGGAACGUACCCGGAAGUGGGGGAUAACGUAGCGAAAGUUACGCUAAUACCGCAUAUUCUGUGAGAAGGAAAGCAGGGGAUCUUCGGACCUUGCGUCUUCGGAGCGGACGAUGUCGGAUUAGCUAGUUGGUGAGGUAAAGGCUCACCAAGGCGAAGAUCCGUAGCGGGUCUGAGAGGCUGAUCCGCCACACUGAGACUGAGACACGGCCCAGACUCCUACGGGAGGCAGCAGUGGGGAAUUUUGGACAAUGGGCGCAAGCCUGAUCCAGCCAGGCCGCGUGAGUGAAGAAGGCCUUCGGGUUGUAAAGCUCUUUUGUCAGGGAAGAAAUAGUCUGGGUUAAUACCCUGGGCGGAUGACGGUACCUGAAGAAUAAGCACCGGCUAACUACGUGCCAGCCGCCGCAGUAACAC